rnacentral:lncRNA from 1 species
CUGAAUAAAUUACAUGUUGAAGAUUCCCCACAGUUUAUUGACCGACAACACCAGGAAUUAAUCAGAGGCAGAUCAUAAAGCUGGAGAAAGGUUAAUGAACUUGAUUCAUCAGACAAACUGCCUUGUGAAGUACUCAGUUUUAUUGUUAAUCAAUCAUUCAAAUAGUAAAAAAAAAGGCCUUUAACCUGUCAAAUAAAACCUACCUGCUGGAUUUAUUCAAAGAAACUGAAAAAAACAAAGAUUGAUCCCAUCUCUUAUAAACAUGUAAACGACUGUUAGGCUGUUUUAAUGUACUCAAUAGAUCAUUUAUAUUACAUUACAGUGGGCUUGGCUUGAAUGCUUUAGAUGGGACAGAAAUGUGCACAUAAAUAAUUUACACAUUUUUUCAACUCAUGGAAUCUGCACAAUUUUUUAAAGCAUGAGUUUUGCACAUUUUUCGCACAAUUAAAAUUAUGUAAAUCAUUGCAUAUGAAACAUUUUUGGGCAUGAAAACAACAAUUUUACACAUGUUCUAUUGUAUCCAAAAAUUUGGCUCACUUCUAUCGCAAAUGAGAGCUUUUUACAUUUUCCAUCACACAAACAAAGGUUGCACAUCUACUAUAACAUCACAGUUUUGCCCAUGCACAAAGUUUUUUUCACAUUCAAUAUCAUGCAUAAAAACCUAACAUGCACUACUGCACAAAAAAAAUGCACAUUUACAAUUCACUAUCAACACUUUCAAACAGCGAUAGUCUCACAUGGUAAUCUUUGCACAUUUGUUGCAGUGUAAAAUAAUACAUGCAAACAAUGGCGCUUUUAACGUUUUGCACACCUUCGACAUGAAAAAAUACAGCGUUGUUGUGUAUUAAAAUGUUGCUUUAUUGCACUUAAAAUUUUACAAUGUCCUUUAUUCAUUUUUUGCACAUACAAUUUCAUACCUGAAUUUUUGUAUAUCAAUCAUUGUGCAUAAAAUUUGCACAUAUACGAUUGCACAGGGAAAUUUUGCACAUUUAAAUUUGGGUUUUUCUUUUGCACUUUGUGACUCUGCACAACAAUUCUGCCUCAUCUAAGUUAUGCACAUGUACCUUUUUAUUGCCCACGGCAAUUUUGCACAUUGAUUGUUGCACUUUGUAAUGUUUUACUAAAUGUUUUUUUUAAUUGUUGCAUAUUUUAUAAUACUGGGUUCACACAAAAAUUUUGCACUUGAACUUUUGCAUAGGAAAUUUUGCACAUAGACUUUUCCAUAGGAACAUUUUGCACAUCCUUUUCUGUACAUGAAAAUUUUGGAUAUAUACUUUCGCAUCAAAAAUUGCACAAGAACUUUUGCAUAGACAAAUUUUGCACAACUGUUAUUGUAUGUGAAAAAUUUGGAUUAUCUUUUGCACGUUACAAUUUUGCACAUCCCCACUGCACAAGGCGACGUCAAACUGACAUCCAUUUAAUGUAAUUUUUCGACGAAGAGGUACAAACGUGGACAUCAUUUCCAUGUCUAAAAGAGGUCUAUUAAUGAUGUCUAAAUCUUGGAUCCAUUUUGCAUGUUGUGCCGAUGUCUAGAUUUGAUCUUCAGAUGAUGUCUAAAUUCUAAACGUCAGAGCAACGUCUAAAAAACGUCCAAUUUGUACAUCGAAAUUUCUAACCUAUUUUGCACGUCGCACUGACGUCGAGAUGUGGUCUUUGACGGACCGACCCAAUACUGAUUUGAUCUGCAUGUCUCUUUAACGUCCGAUGUUUGGUGGGUCUAUAGUUGCACAUGAAAAUUUCCUUUACCUUUAUUGCAUGUAAAAAUUUGACAUUUUGGCAUUAAUAUUUGCAUUUAAUGGUAUUGUUUCAUAUUUAAAUUUUAUUUGAAUGUGAGUGAAAUAUGCCUUACAGAAAAUGGUGCCCACAGGAUGAUGUAGGAAGAGUAUUAAGGUUACAGCAGCAGCUAGUAUGACGCCAGCGUGUAUUUGAAUCCAAGAAAGAGAAUACGGAAAUGAGCUGUGGGACUUGUAUCACUGCAACUCAAGUUGUCACUGUUAGGAACCAUCACUUAACACUUUAUGCAAAUAUGAGUUAGAUCUCGAUGACUAUAUGUGUCACAGGUACACAAUAUUAACAACUAACGACCUGCCAGGGGGAAGUGAACCACAGAACACACGUGAAGCAUGCUUGGGCUUUAACUGCGCCUGAGGGGUUUGGGUGGCGGUGUGGAAAUGUUAAGCUCGCCCUGCUUGCACACAUUGGAGGCUUAACCAAAAAACAUCAACAGCCUGGAGACUUUCUUGCAACAUUUGGCCGGGGAGAUGCAGGGUAUUUGUGUUCAACAGCAGUGACUAAGACAUACUGUACUAGAAAAAUGCACCAGCAAUACGCCUCUGUUAGCCUGAGAAACUUCCACACUGGAGAUAUUCUUUAUCUGCAAACAUGUACAAACACAGUUUUGUCGCUGCAUGAAAAGAAAUCUUUGUUCCAAGACAACACAGAGAUGCAAUUUUUUUUCUCUUUUUUCAUUCCCUGUUUCUGUACGGUUCCCCCCUCCUUGGCUGCAAAGUGACAGCACAUUUGCAUGACGGAAAAAGAAACACGGGCUCUUUGAUAUGCCUCUCUUCUCCGUGAUUCUACCCCCUUAGUUCCUCUCGCAGGCCCCUGCUCACCAGGGACAGAUAAUUGUCGGGAAUCUUGCUCCUUCUUCUUCCUCGCUCCUCUGCUUGCCAGUAAUGAUGGCAAGCCUUUUGAGGUGCAACAGGGCCAGCGGACCAAUUACAGAUUCUGAGUUCAGCCGGCUUCAGAGGGGGAAGGUAUAGAAGGACCACAGUACCGCACUUUGUGAGGUAAUAGCAGAAGUCAGCCAUUAGCAAUUGGUCAAGAUCUCUCCAGGUUCAUUCUUUUACAAAUACGAGUUCUUUGAUUACGAAGGCUAAGAAAAGAAGACAUGAUUGGAAAUUAGUGGAUUCGAGUCGAUCCAGGCGGUAGAGAUUUAGGCCUCACGCCGUUUUAAGCUUGAUAAUCCUCCAAACACAAAGCCUGGACCGCCCUCUCAAAGGAAGAUAAUCAAUUACAAACGCAAAACCAUAAUCAGGGUUUCUCCAAAAUCUUCCGAACAAAUGGGUCAACAUGUUGUGUUGCAUGAAUAAUAGCUCACCCCUACCACUUCCUCCCGCGUCGUCCUCACUCUACGCUUGCACACUCUCUUUUUCUUCCUCCCCCCUCUCCCCCCAUUCAAUCACUCUCCCCCCUUUCCACCAUGCACUCGGGAAUGAAUGCCUCAGCUGCAGAUUUCCAUCAGACUUGUGAAAUGAGUGCCAAAAACAAAGCUCGCAGCUGGGUUUUUUAACCAAGGGAAGCCUUUUGUCUUUGAGACAACUCGCCGUACCAUCGCUAUGUCGUCUCAUCCAGCCGGGAUUCUUUAGCUGAAAGAUCGGCCUCCUCAUGAGACACAAGGUUUGAGUAUUCAAUUCUGCCACAUGCAUUUACAAGAAGUCACAUACUCACGAUAAGGCCAGUGGCUCAAAACACAAGACAUUUUGAUUAUCCUACAAGGCAGCAGCAGGGACAAGAAAAGGAUUGGCAGGGGGUUGACGAAAAACCAGGCCAAGUUCUCUUGAAAUAUCAAAGCUGAGAGUGAGUUUUUAACAAUGCACAUGAGUCAGGGCCCAGGUGUGUGCUUUGUGAGUUAAUGCACUAACAGCCCUUGAAGAUAAAGCUCUACCUGUCUGCAAUAAUCUCAGGAAGUCCAGGGUUUUACUUCUAAAAUCUGCAGACGUGUCUCCUUGAGUUUUGUGAUCCUCUGCCAGCCACUGAAGACUUUGCUUUGCAGUCUGCAGUUGUGAAUUCUUAAGUUCAGCCUGAUGGUCUUCAACUUCAUGGGUCAGAGCUUACUGCAUUUGGAUGAAAGGCUUGACCUAAAGUGGGUUGGUCAAACCAAGGUUUUAGGGCCUGAGUCCACCUAGCUUCAUUAAAUAUUAACCAGUGUGGCUGGGUGUGUCCAGUUUCAUGAGCAGUGGGAUUAAGGACCCUGACUCUUUGUCCAGUUGCAGGACCCCAUUUUUUAGAUCUGAGUUGUUGCAUGAGAGUUCAAGUCCUUGUUGCAUGUGUCCAAGCUAAGUCCUCAUAACUUGUAUUUGAAUGUAGGUAAAGUCCUCAUAAACUCAGCCUCAGUCUGAGUCCAAGUUGAGGACUUGUUACAUAUAUUUGAGUCCAGGUCAAAAUUGAGUUCCCAUUGCCUGUGUCCAGCCCAAGUCUAAGUUAAAGGGAUAUUCCAUCGUAAAAUUAAUUUAGGGUCAAACACGUCAUAACACCAAGUUAGACACCCCCUUGAGAGAUGAGUGUUGCCGACUGCUUGCUUCUCUAGUUAUACCAAUUUAGUAACAACCGCAAGAUAGCAAUACACAGUGGUCUGAGGAGCCAUACACAAACCUCAACCAAAACACCACUCUAUAGACACAAAUAAUGCUCAGAACAGCACCUAACUUCAUCAACAGUUCAUAUAAGGUAGCACUAGCUACUGAACAUCUUUUUCUUUCCUGAUUUCUGUAGCAAAGAGACUAAACACAACUCACCCACUCUCUUCCAGCAGCCGUUUGUUUGUAGAAAGACCUCAGGCCAGUCCAUUACAGACUGCUGCGGGGUGACGCAGCUCAAGGAAGAACAUUUAUGUUUAUUUCUUCAUGAAAAUGCAAUCAGAACGAGGUACUAAAGCAGAAGAACUACCCCGUCUGCAGUGCAAAAUGAUUAUUUUGGUGAUUAUUACUUCAAAGAAAUGUUCUUCCUUGAGCUGCGUCACCCCACAGUUAUGCCGGAAUACCCCUUGAAGUCUUCUUUAUAUGUGCGCAGUCAUAGUUACAUCCUCAUUCCUUUAUGUACAGUAGGUCUACAUGUAGGUUGAGUCCAGGCCAGGCCACUAUAGUCCAAGUCCAAGCUUAUUCUUUAUUACUUGUGUCUGAGUCUAAGUAAGACCUUAUUACUCAUGUCAAGUCCAAAUCAAAGUUUAGUCCUCUUUAUGUGUGACCAAAUGCAAGUCAGGUCCUCAGUGUCCCAGGCUGAGUCAAGUCCUUGGUACCCCAAAUUAAGACUUUAUCUUCAUGCUUAGAUUGCAGUCCAAAGUCACUGUAGUUUUUAUUUAGACAAAAGGCGUGUGUAGCUCACAGCUUGGCAAAUUUGCAGAGAAAGUGCUGUUACUUUAAGGUGUCUGCAGGCUGCAGCUCCUCCUUUGGGAUGGUGAUGAAAUAAAUGCCCCUGAAAGCAAUAAACACAGACAAAUGAGGGUAGCCAAAAUUGUGCACAGGGGGAAUUUGUACUUGAAAGUACUUCAAAUGCUUUCCCAAAAGUCAUCAGUCUCACAGAAGAUAAUACAAGGAGAGGGGGAAAAAAAGGGAGAACAAGAGCGAUUAUUACUGAUUACACGGUGGGCAGACCCUUUCGUCUUAGAGUGUAUGUUUCUGAAAUACCUCCUCGACAUUUAAGAGGAAGUUUUUGAGCAACAAGUUCAUCACAGACACCUGUAAUUUGAUUCUUUAGGAAUUAAAUUUGUCCCUCUGGGUGAAAAGUUGAACUCUUUGAAAUCCCCAGAUUAAUUUCAGUUGAAUUAGUUCAAGUGGUUUCAAGGUAAAUUAGAUGGUAAAGAGUUUCUUUAGGGACGUUUUAUGUUUCCAAUCCACAGGGAGCUGUAAAUUAACAGAGGGAUUCUCAAAUAAUUGAACAUUGAAGCAGCUUUGAUCAGAAAUACAGCCUUAGAGGCAGCAAUAAGAAGGUUUCAGAAAGUUUCGUUGUGAUCCGGCCGAGUUUUUAUCAAUCGCAGAAUCAAUCACACUUAGAAUCAAUGUCUGCAGAUAUGAGUCCCUGCUGUUCGCCUGUGCUAAUCAACAUAUUGCAGAAUGUGCGGCCUUGCCGUGGGGAAGGUGGCAGAGUGGGGACUGCGGGGCUGGAAGCAGAGGCGGAAAAAGAAGCAAAAGAUCUUCAAAGCAUCUGCUUUACAAGUCUGAUGUAUUCUCACUCGCUGUGUUAAAAUCCUUUGUGUCUCAUUAGGGCUGCGAUUUUGGGACGGUGCCUUUGUACACUGGACAAAUUCUGUUUGAAAUGCAAGGGGGGGAAAGAGAUCUCUCUCUCCACAGCUGACAAACCCGUGGGAUCAAGCUUUGUUAGUGUAAAGAAGAGGGUCACUUAUCCCAAUCAAUGGCUGACUGAUUCUGUCAAACGUAUGGCAAAGUUAACAUGCAUAAUAACGGUGAUGAAGGUAGAACCAAACUGCAUAUUUGUAUCUUAAAAUAAGCAGUUGUAGACUACCUACAUUGAAAGAAAGGAGACUUUGCACAGUCCUACUUGAUUUGAAGGGUAGCCAAUUGUUUUGAGAAUGGGUAGCACUGACUGGAAGUUGCUCCGGAGUAUAAGUCGCACCAGCCAAAAAAAAUGCAUAAUGAAAUAGAAAAAGCAUAUACCGGUAAAAGUCACAUUUUUGGCCGGAAAUUUAUUUUACAAAAUCCAAGACCAAGAACAGACAUUUCAUCUUGAAAGGCAAGUUAUAAUAAUAAUCCAGCCAUCUAGCUUUUAGAUCGCGAUUAGCUUUUUUUUUUGUUUUGUUUUGUUUUGUUCAUCAUAGUAAGAGUAACCUCCGCUUUUCUCAAGUCCCUCACAAGUUUCUCGCUCACUCCGAACUCUCUCUCUGCUGCUCGAUUGCCGUUUUUGGCUGCAUAUUUCACUACUCGCAGCUUGUAACCUGCAGAAUAAAAUUUUCUUUUUGGUGGCAUUUGUGCCUAGUCUUUCUCAAGUUAACGUUAAUUUUUAAAUAUUCAGUAGUACAGCCUAGGGUGCCCUCUAGUGGCUGUCAGUGGGAAAAUAACAAACGUGCGAAACUAUAUAUUUUAAUAAGUCGCUCUUGAGUAUAAGUUGCAAACCCAAAUUAUGAAAAAAAAGUGCGACUUAUAGUCUGGAAAAUACGGUAAUUGAAUGAUAACGAGUAGCAAUGAUUAAUGCAUUUGUGGGGAUGCAUUUGGGUCCUAGCUGAAUAUUUAUAUGCACAAUAUUUUGUAGUAUUGGCAGUGAUUCCAGGUGGUCUGGCACAAGACAUUUGUAUUCUAGUGAGGGAAGGUAAUUGUCAAACAAAUAAUGAGCAAUGAUAUUGGAAGAACCCAAAUCCAUAAAUGCGGGUUUUCAUUUGGGAUCAGGCUUCAUAUGUUGACCAUUUCCCAGACAUGUCAGGUGUCAAUUUUUGCAGAAUCAAAGGUGAUUCAGAGAGGACCCUAAUUCCAUUUUGCAUCAAGAAAUAUGCAUUAGGGAUCUAACUGUAUGGAUAGGCAAGUAAUUGUCGAAGGAAUGAGUAGCAAUGAUUCAGGAAGGACCCAAAUGUGCAUAUGCACAUGUGCAUUCUGGUUUUUGUUACAUUUUCAGGUUGUUGGCAUUUUGUAUAUUUAGUAGCAGUGAUUUAGAAAGGGCCCAAAUGUCUUUUGGCAUCUACAAAUAUGCAUUUGGGUCCUAGCAAAUUUGUUACGGACAAGAGAAUGAGAGGCAAUUAUUCAGGCAGGACUCAAAUGUGUAUUUGCAAAUUGAAAUACCCUUGGAGUCCCACACAAGUUGUCAUGUAGGUAAUUGUUAGGCAGAUUAGUAAUGAUUUUUGCAGGACCCAGAUGCGCAUCUGCAUUUAAAAACCUCAAUGUACAUCACAUUUAGUUGCUGUCAUGACAGGAUUUGAUAUUGUUGAUUUAUUUGUGUUGAGUUAUCCGCACAAUACCUGGGAUUGUAAAUCAGUGAGGACAAAGUUUAAUUACUGGCAGCUGUUAGAGGAGAACAUGAGCAGUCAAAGCCGGGAAUCACAGCAGACAUGCCCGCUGUUUUCCAUGCUGAGCUUAAACCUCUAAGCAAACAUUGCCCUGCAGUGACACAGAGAAAUAGAGAUUUGUGCAACCACCGGCCCAAUUCACACUUAGCCAGCAACUUUGAACUCAUCCAGACAUUACCCUGAAGGAGCUGCAAGUGAGAACAUGAAUGUCUGAACCAGCCCAGGCGUUCCAUGUAUUGUCUGAUUGAGUAGACAGCGACCGGAGAGGGUAAUUAUUUGUUGAGCCAAGGCUUCAUAUGUAGACAUGUCAAUAUAAUGUGUAAGACCACAUGAAGCAGUUACAGAAGUGUAGUUAUGCUUGUUUGCUUUGCACUUGUUCCUAUAGUGGAUAUGUCAGAAUAAACUGUAUGUAUUAUUGAUAUCAACACCACCUUAGGGGAUUUCCCGUUGCUGAGAAGGCAAUCGACCGAGUCUAAGUCUCUGGAGAUCGUCUGGAGUUCAUCCAGUAAAGGAAAGCAGCUGCAGAUUCCAAGUAAUUGGCAGAGUGAUUUUUGUCGUUGUUUGAAAAGUAACCGUGGAAUAUGAAAUUAAGUUUUUCAGUGUGUUUUUUAAUGGACUAUGUGCUUCCUUUUGAAUCUUAUUAACAACAACAACAUGACCAAUAAGGUGCUCCCCUUAGAAACCAACAUUUUCAUUCAGGAAAUCUACAGAAAAGAAAUUAACAAGAAUUUAAAAAAACAAAAUUGAAGUAUUCUCAGUGGAGAUUGAACCACUCUCAACACCAAGCCACAGAGAAGUCUUAACUAAAAUGUGAACUUUUGAUCUUUUUUUUUCUCUUGGCAAGUUUUAUUACCUAUAAACUCCCACUUCUCGCUGUGUCAGUGUGAACUUUUGAUCUUUUUUUCUUGUUGUCUUUUGGCAGGUUUUAUCUCCCACAAACUCAUACUUUUCACUGUGUCAGCAGGGGCAGCUGAGCAUAAGAUCAUACACUUUGGUUACACCUUGUUCCAUCCAAAAAGGGAGUCUAUUGAUGUCAGCAAUGUCAGCAGUUUUCUGUCAGUGUACUCUGAAGUAUUUGCUGUAAAUUUAGUUAGUUAAUUAUUGGGUACUAGUUGCAUUACUUUCACGGUAAUUUCCUGUAAAUAUUUCGCAGUAAUUUAUUGUCAAUUACGAUGAAAUUAGAACAACUAAAGCUAAGUUAGAGCCCCAUGAUCAAGAAAUUACUAUGUAGAAAGAAGCAAGAUAUAGGUAUAGAUUUGGUCGAACAUAUACAAACUAAGGUUUUUGUAACAGUGUACACCUGUGAAAGCUAGGCCGUCUCAUUGAAGCUGGAUGUUGUGUCCAAGUCACCAAAUCCAUUUAUCCCAAAACUGAUAAAAAUGUACCCAAAGCAGGGAUUAAGAUUUUUGGCUGAUUUAUUCAUGUGAGCAAUAGGAUCAAACUCUAAAGCUCUUGGAGCAAACAGAAAUUAAUCAGCCCAGAAUCUUGAUUUCCACGCUAUCAGCUGCUGCAAGAGUUGCUGAGCCUGACAAUAUAUUGCACGAUCACACAGUUUUUAAUGUCAAAACUUUAAGUUAACGAGAAGGAGAGGUGAAAAAUAAAAGGCAGCCUGUGGUUUAUAUGGCAGCGAGUAAGAGGCCCCCUAUCAAUUAAAGCUUAUACAGCCAGAACUAUACAGCUCGGUUAGAUGUUUACAACCCAGGUUCCCAGCAUUUACAACUGUGACAGGAUCAGCAGCAAAUUAAGUCAUAUAAACAUCAAUGCCCACAGCAAUGCAGCAUUGACAUCAAGAGAAACAUCAAAAAUAGUGAUUAAACAUUGACUACCUUUGCUUUGAACAGUACUAACAAUAUCAAGUAUAAUGGCAGCCCGAUUAUUGUCAACUCGGACAGCAAGCCCAACAGCAACAAUGGCGAUGAUGGCAACAAACAGAGUGGCAAUAUUGAAAUAAUUAUGGCCAUGGUAGGGAAGCAUCAAUAGCUGCUGCUAAUUUAAACAACAGCAAUAAGAAUGUUACUGGCGGUGAAAUGCAACAGCAAAAAAGUAUUACCACUAUCAAUGAGAGGAGGAACAAUGAGAGAAAUGGAGGUCAUGGUACAGAACAGCAAAUACAUAGAAACAGUGAGCAGAACCAAAACAACAACCAAGACUUUCAGCAGCCAAUUGCAAAAACUAAUUUAUUACCUUCGCCAAGGAGGUUAUGUUUUCGGUAGCGUUGGUUUGUUUGUUUGUUUGUCUGUCUGUGAACAACUUUACGGAGAAAGUUACAGACGGAUUGACCUGAAAUUUUCACCAGAGGUGCGUCUCAGCCCCAGGAGGAUCCCAUUACAUUUGAGUGGUGAUCCAGAUCGUCUGCUGGAUCCAGGACUUUUUUGAAGGAUUCUUUAUCAUUGUGAGACAGGGCAAAUUUUGGAAUUUUUGCAUUUAACUCUAUAAAAAUGGCCAGAGUCUUAAGUAAAAAAUUACACAAAAGGAUCUCAAUGAAUUUUAUGAGGUGUCAAAGGUUGAUCCUGAUCCAGACAAAAUUCCGGAUACUGUGAUCCAGAACCCAAAAAAAUAAGGGUGUCGCUGGAAUUUUCAGUGCUGAAAGAUAACCAAUGGGCGGCACAGUGGUGUAGAUGGGCGACACAGUGGUGUAGUGGUUUGCGCUGUCGCCUCACAGCAAGAAGGUCCUGGGUUCAAAUCUGAAACACAAAUAAAAGUUAAUAAAAGACACGAAACAGUCAAAGUUUUGGUGUGAAUCACAAUAUAAGGGGGGACAUGAGCUGCAUGGCGGAGGUCUGCGCUCUCAGAGUGCUUUUCUAAUUUUAACUGUUUUACCUUUUUUGAAUCAUAUUUCACAAGUUAUCCCAACUUGAAUCCCCGAUCUUACAUCUCAAACCAGUUCGUAUUAAAAAUAAGAACCAUUUAUUGCCAGUGUAUUGAUUUGAAAAUCAAAAAAGGGUUCAAUCAAGUUUUAAAAAGCGCAGUGGUGUUAUUUGGUCAUGGCAGCUUGAGUACAGUGUGUCAAAAAGGACAAAAUGGUGAGCAAUUCAGAAAUCCACAAUAACGUUGGAGUUUUAUCACAAAGGGCAAAAGGCAAAAUGGGCAUAUUUAGCGAUAUAGUGUAGUAGAUUCCAACAACAUAGCUGGGCUCGUCUUGGAGUUUCAAAGUCAAGGUUCCCUGUAAACAAAGACACACUAAGCUCAUGUUUUGUGGCUUGAAGUGUUUUGUGCCCAAGUCGACAAACGACUCAAAGCCCUAAUUAGGUUUCAACGACUUGUGUAGUACUCUGAACCUGCCCUUUACAUUUCCUUUCUAUUCAUUUCUCUCCUCUCUUCUGUAAUUGCACUAAGGCUGCCUGCUCAUUUAUUCCCAUUCAGUCGUAACUGGGCUCAAAAGGAGGGCUCAUUUGCAGCACACUCCAUGAAAGGGAGUCUUCUGUGGUUCAUUGUGAUCACGGGGUGUUACCUUAGCUUGAAUGGGAGUUCUGAUUCGGACCCCCGGGGAGUGUUUCUUCGGAUUAUUAAACUCCAAUGUAAUAUCUCCUUCAUUUUCAGGGGGAUUUUUGCUCUGAUUAGUAGAAUAAGAAAUCCUCUUUUUGACUUGUUGCUUCAGAGGAAUUUCUUUCAUAUCUGAGUUUCAACUUGGUGUCAUGAAGUAAAAGACCAACAGUGUAAAAAUUAGCUAAAUGACAUUGCAUAGCUGGCCCUACCCGAGAAAACCGUAGCCUAGCUUGCAAGCCGACUCUCACAGCAGUUUCCUCUCGGGAGAUGGAAUCAGCAUCAGUUUGCAACCAAAGUCUGUGCUUGGUGGGAUACUUCCUAUGCAAUGUAAUAUAUCAAACAAUUUAUCUAAAGCCAUGGAACUUGCAGUUCUAACUCUGCAUUAUCCCCCGUUUGCCAGAAAUAUCCCAAGGAUUGUGUAAUAAACACAUUGGGGGUCUCCCCCUGCAGGCUUUGGUAGUUCAUGCAUGCCUGUGGAAGGGCAGGGACUUCUCAGAACAGGGAUGUAACAUAAACUAGAAAAGCACUCGGAGAGCGCAGACCUCCGCCAAGCAGCUCAUGUCCCCCCUUAAACAAGAAAUGCCCUGACUGGGAUUCAAACCCAGGACCUUCUGGUUGUGAGGUGACAGUGCUAACCACUACACCACUGUGCCGCCCAUUGGUUAUCUUUCAGCAUUGAAAAUUCCAACGACACCCUUAUUUUUGUGUGUUCUGGAUCACAGUAUCCAGAAUUUUGUCCCGAUCACCACCAAAAUUUAAUGGGAUCCUCCUGGGGCUGAGACGCACCUCUGGUAAAAAUGUCAGGUCAAUCCGUCUGUAACUUUCUCCGUAAAGUUGCUAACAGACAAACAAACAAACGCUACCAAAAACAUAACCUCCUUGGCGGAGGUUAAAUAUAACAAUUACAUGCAGUAACUACUUCUGAGUUUACUUUAAUUCUGCCAUAUUGAUAAAAUCAAGCUAGAUUUUCCUCUUUUAUAGGUUUUUAUGCAUUAUCACUUCCACGGGGCUCCCAAUGCUGAAGGCUAUCAAUGUGACUGGAAAUAUCCUCGGUAAAAUGUUCAUUUCUGUGUGAGUGAAACAAAUGUGUAUGCCUGAGACAGGUGAAGCGUCGAAAUCCCUCUACAUUCAACAGAUUGAGCAAAAAGACAUCUGUGCCAGUUUAAAGGUAUUUAAGGUCUAAGCGAACUGUUCGCUCUGUGGAACAUAAUCAAAUUUCAUCCUGGAACCUGGACAGGAAUCAGUCUAAAUGCUCAACAUAUGGAUGCAUACAUAGUGAAACCUGAAACAGCUUGUAAGUUAACUCUUUUAAUAUGUUCCCAUUGCUUUGAGCCAAAGAUUAAAACUGUGAUUACAAAAUAUUUCGCUGGCCUCACAACUUGUUGAAAGAAACAGAUUACUGGGGCUGUUUGGCAGUUGAAUUCAGACUCCCAGCCUUUUGAGAGGUUGAACAGAUCAUGGGGUAAUGAUGUCAAUCUGUCUGCUUUUCUAACGAGUCGGCGUUAACAUUCGGUUCCCCUCCUUAACUCCACAUGGAGAUCCACGUGGAGGAAGGAGGGAGUCCAGAAUAAAAAGUCUGCUAAACAGCGAACUGAUUAUUCAUCAUGGAGGGAUAUUUGAAGUAAGACAUGCUUUAUUCAAGCGGCAAAGGAAGGGGGAGUUGAAAUAUUGAUGACUCAAGAAAGGGAGUAGAAAAUGAAAUUUACAUGAGGUUGUGAAUCACAGAUCUGCGGAGGUUUUAAGGAGGCUGAAUGAGUGACCCCUAAACACACAAAUCCACCAAAUGUGACAGCAGGGACAGUUUUUUUUUUUCCCCAUGUAGACCGCACUCCUCCUGCAAGAAGACCUGUAGCUGCGAGCGCACCCGACAGGCUGCUCCAACGACCCAGCGAGGAAUACUAAUAACGAGCAGGAUUCUGGGAUGGAAUAAAUCAGAGCGGAAGAUUUUGCGCGACCCGCUCGACUUAUGCAAAACGCUUCCACAUCUUGGCUGAGGGCGUUUUCGGUGAAAGUUUAUCAAACUUCCGCGUGGCGCUCGCAGCCAUCCCACUGUUCAGGAACAUCUUUCACGGCUGUCAGUUUACCGCCGGAUGUGAAUUAUGCAGAAAAAGCCGAAGAAACGUCUCUGAAAGGCCGCGCGGCGGAUAGAAACAUUCUCUUAAAAAACACAGAUGUCAUUCCCUGUGACAAAAGAUGCCGUCGUGGAUUAAAUCUGUUCCAAUGUUAUGAUAGUAUUAGCAUCAUGUCAUUGCAUUUAGCGAGCAAAUUGAAGCAAAUAAAGGAUUAUAUUUGACAGCAUGUUUCAUUUCUUCAUGUGAUGGAUGAGUGGAUUUUCAAAGGGUGUAGUCCUGUGAAUAUGUGACACUUGAGUUGAUCUUCCCAACCAACUAAAGAAUAGAUACCUCAGAUUAUUUGCCUGUUUUCUGAGCCGCGAGCCUUUUUCUCAGCUUUGAUUUAUCUUUGAUGUGCUAAGUUCAUUAGCAGCAAUCACUGAGGCUUGUCAGAACCGCGCUAAAGUGAUUUUGUUAAUGACUCUGGAGAUGGAUCAUCCUGAUGUAUGUAGGCGUCUCGCAAGGAAAACAGAAUAAUGUGGCUGCACUUGAAGCCGGCGUUCCAUAGGAUCAUCGAACACUCACUCGGUACAGUCAAUACCUUCUCAUUAAGAGGGAAAACAUGAGAAAAUAAAAAAAAAAAAGUUGUCAAAAGUACGCUCGCCUUGCUCGGUUGCAAGGGUUGGAUGCACAGAGGUGUGUCUAAUAAC